UUUAUCAGCUUUACUUAAAUCACGUAUCGUCGUUUGUACGUCAUAACCUUGUUCUAAUA
rnacentral:sRNA from 1 species